ACAAUUGCGAGGUUAUCAGUGACCACCAAAACAUUCAAUGCAUUUUCCUCAUCUUAAUUUAGGGUGAAGACAUGUAACUAUCCCUUGGUACAAACCAAAGAAAGAUAAACAGAGUGUGACUUGCAGGUCAGGAAAGUUGAGUCAGUGUUCCUCAUUCUUCUUUUUUUUCUUCUGCCACAGCUUCCAUGGACCCCUGAUCACUGCUUGAGGAGAAUUGCCCUGUGGAUGUGAUGACCAAUGAUUGUGAUUUUCAGGUGAUGCACCCAGCAGGAGUGAGGAGGAUUUAUCUUCAGUGUAAACGUCAUUAUUCUACAGUGUCUCUUCAUUUGCCCAGGAGGUUAUCAGGGAAGUCUGAUUUUCUUUUCUCAGCGUUCCAAGCUUCUAGCUGCUUCCCAGUAUACAAUAAAAAUUUC
rnacentral:lncRNA from 1 species